GACGAACGCUGGCGGCGUGCUUAACACAUGCAAGUCGAACGGUAAGGCCCUUCGGGGUACACGAGUGGCGAACGGGUGAGUAACACGUGGGUGAUCUGCCCUGCACUUCGGGAUAAGCCUGGGAAACUGGGUCUAAUACCGGAUAGGACCACUGCCUGCAUGGGUGGUGGUGGAAAGCUUUUGCGGUGUGGGAUGGGCCCGCGGCCUAUCAGCUUGUUGGUGGGGUGAUGGCCUACGAAGGCGACGACGGGUAGGCGGCCUGAGAGGGUGACCGGCCACACUGGGACUGAGAUACGGCCCAGACUCCUACGGGAGGCAGCAGUGGGGAAUAUUGCACAAUGGGCGCAAGCCUGAUGCAGCGACGCCGCGUGAGGGAUGACGGCCUUCGGGUUGUAAACCUCUUUCAGCACCGACGAAGCGCAAGUGACGGUAGGUGCAGAAGAAGGACCGGCCAACUACGUGCCAGCCGCCGCGGUAA
rnacentral:rRNA from 1 species